rnacentral:piRNA from 1 species
UGCCGUUUGUUUCUCUUGAGCUCCGG